rnacentral:rRNA from 1 species
CCCAGAUGGGAUUAGCUAGUAGGUGGGGUAACGGCUCACCUAGGCGACGAUCCCUAGCUGGUCUGAGAGGAUGACCAGCCACACUGGAACUGAGACACGGUCCACACUCCUACGGGAGGCAGCAGUGGGGAAUAUUGCACACUGGGCGCAAGCCUGAUGCCGCCAUGCCGCGUGUAUGAAGAAGGCCUUCGGGUUGUAAAGUACUUUCAGCGAGGAGGAAGGCACUGUGGUUCAUAACCGCGGUGAUUGACGUUACUCGCAGAAGAAGCACCGGCUAACUCCGUGCCGGCAGCCGCGGUAAUACGGAGGGCGCAUGCGUUAAUCGGAAUUACUGGGCGUAAAGCGCACGCGGGCGGUCUGUCAAGUCGGAUGUGAAAUCCCCGGGCUCAACCUGGGAACUGCAUUCGAAACUGGCAGGCUAGAGUCUUGUAGAGGGGGGUAGAAUUCCCGGUGUAGCGGUGAAAUGCGUACAGAUCUGGAGGAAUACCGGUGGCGAAGGCGGCCCCCUGGACAAAGACUGACGCUCAGGU